GUUGGUAGCUCAGUGAUAGAGUGCAUGCUUUGUGUGUAUGAUGUCCUGGGUUCAAUCGCUAUUUAAGCA